CCUACUUAUGUCAGAUUGAGUUUUUUACUUUCAUCAAUUAAUCACUGAUAACUGUUUAAACCGAAUGGUCAUAUGUAAACUGUUUUAUGGGCUUGCACCAAGAUUUGUGAACUAAUCAGUAAAAUUCAAAAACAAAUUUUUUUUUUUUUCAUUUUUAAGAAAAGAAAUUGAAUAAAGACAAAGUUAUUAAUGAACAUUGCUCAGAUCAACUUGAAAAUAUGGCCACUAAAUGAUGCAUUGCUACAUGUGAAGAAGUCACUUGGUGGAAAAGUAAAUGCUGGCCACUGUUAACCCUUCAAGCCAUUUCUGCCCUUAUCAGGGCUGAAAAAAAUCAAUGAAACAGGUCUCCUUCUAGGGUGUUUUUGCAACUGUUGCUCAAACACCCUAGAGGGAUUUUAAAUCUUGGUCUUUGAGGGCUAGUGGUCCUGCAGGUUUUAGAAGUUUCCCAGCUGCAACACACCUGACUCAGACCUCGAUGCACCAGCUGAUUGCUUGGUUUGCAUGAAGUGAAAACUCUGCUGACCUGGCGAGCCACUCGGUCGCCCGGGUGAGAAAUGGUGCGGACCCAUACUUCCCCUAUUGAACAUAAAUUAAUUAGAUAGUGAAAAAUAAUGAUGAAGUUCAAAUUGAUUAAACACUGAGCCUGGUUUUGUCCAGUAGGUAAUCUGCUAACAUUGAUUGAGGAUUGGAUGUAUUUGCUUAAUUACUUACUGUAUAAAUAAACACAUUUCAUAAGCAAGGGGUGCUGGCCAAAA